UACAGAGGUCUCAAGCGUUGUUCGGAAUUACUGGGCGUAAAGGGCGCGUAGGCGGCCUGCUAAGUCGAACGUGAAAUCCCCGGGCUCAACCCGGGAACUGCGUCCGAUACUGGCAGGCUUGAAUCCGGGAGAGGGAUGUGGAAUUCCAGGUGUAGCGGUGAAAUGCGUAGAUAUCUGGAGGAACACCGGUGGCGAAGGCGGCAUCCUGGACCGGCAUUGACGCUGAGGCGCGAAAGCCAGGGGAGCAAAGCGGG
rnacentral:rRNA from 1 species